AGAGAGAGACAGAGAGAGACAGACAGAGACAGAGACAGAGACAGAGACAGAGACAGAGACAGAGAGAGAUACACAGAAGCCAGGGGCUGCAUACACAUGGGAGAACUAGGCUAAACCCCAGACCUAAGGCACUGAGCUGUGCUUGUAUGAACACAUUGCUUGACACUAGAUUCCUCUCGAAUCCUAUCUACAGUGGAAGGUGUCUACAAAUGCACAGAUAUUAGUACUGUAGUUAAAACAAUCAAGGUCACCAGGUACCCUUGCUCAGCCUGUCACCCAGACCACAGUGGUGUCAUUUUCACAUAUUUUGAACAGAAAACCAUUCUGAAGUGAUCUUUUCUUUGCUCUGACUUCAAAAAUAAUCCAUGGUCAUUAUGAAAUAUUGGCAAGAUACAUACAUUUUUUUUAAUGUACAGUUUUAUUUUAGCUUAAAGUGGUACUAAAACCAAUGUGCCUGUACUCUGGGCACUACCUCAAAAUAAACAGUCUUUAUUUUAAAAAAUAGUUGUACUAUAGAAAGGCAGGUUCUUCUUUCUUUCUUUCUUUCUUUCUUUCUUUCUUUCUUUCUUUCUUUCUUUCUUUCUUUCUUUUUAAAGUAAUUCUGUGCUAAUAAGAGCAAAUGUACAAGAAAAAUUGUUAUGUUCAAACCUCUUCAUAGAGAUACUGUUCAGCCGAAGGAGAGCCACGGCGAAGAUGUGCAGGCCCCAGCUAGGGUGCAGGAUGAGGCUUUCAUGGAUGAAAGCCUUCAGGGAAGACAUUGCAGAUACAGGAAGCCCCAUUUUUAAUUCAUGAGCUCAGCUAGUCAUGAAGGUUGAAAUGAAGCUGGAGCUUAGCUUGGUGCUGACAGUAGCCAUCAAUUCUGUGACAAGGCACAGUGAACUCUGUUAGUGCCCUCCUGUAGAGAAAUGAGGGACAAGGUUUAAAAUCUUCAUGGAAUUUCAGGUAUACAAUUAAGUAUCGCAAGGUCCUGUGAACAGGGUAAGUAAAGUUCCUUGGAUAAAAGCUAGAGGCCAGUGAUGCAGACCCUGAGUCUCCCUGCCAGAGCUACUUAAGGCCCAAGUAAGUACAAGCAAUGAUAUAUUUUUUUCUGGACUAUCUACAAAUGUUAUUAUUAUUAUUUCUUUAGUUUCUCUAGGUUUGUCCUGUUUGUGUGAGUCAUGGCCUUACAAGCGAUCUCACAUAGUCAAUAUGUGCUAUAAACUCGACUCAAGCUCAAGACAAUCUUUAAAAAGAAUUUUAUAACAUUCUGGUUAGUCCAUAUAAAAGACACACAAUCCAGUUAUUCCAUUUACAAGCUGUAGCCUAGAAGUCUAGACUGGGCAGAUUUGGAGCUCUUCUAACUUAUUUCUUAGCCACUAUGUCCCUUAUUAUUUGCCGUUUUUUUCGUGGCCUUGUGCUCAAGGUCCAUCUCCUCUCAUGGUGGCUUCCUCCUCUCUUGGUAUCCUUUCUUCUCUCCCCUUGGUCUCUUUUGAGACCUUCAUUUGACUCUCAAGUCCCACCUUUCUUCCUCUCCAGCCCAAUCACACGCUGUAGCCUUUGACUGAACAGUUUAAUUGGGGGGGGGGAGGGGUUACAUAGCUUUACCUGGUGUGAGGAUCUGCACAUGGGUGGGGGACAAUCAGAUCUUGGGAGCCAGUAUUUGCCAUUAGAAUACAUAGCAGCAUCAGACCAACCCACUACAACAAUACUCUUGAUUCAUCCUCCCAUGAUGAGACUGUAGGCACAACCCAAUUGAUCUGGCUUGCUAAUGCUAUUUUAGUAUGUGGGAAUACAUGCAGCCAGGUUAGAUGCCAGUCAAAAUAAUCCACACAGAAGAGCUGUCUUGUACUCUGCAAGAACAGUUAGCAGAGGGAAAGGUAAUCUUAUGCAGCCCAUUCUUAAAGUUGUUUGUGUGUGUGUGUGUGUGUGUGUGUGUGUGUGUGUGUGUGUGUGUGUGUAUGUGUUUUAAUAUUUUCUGAUCUUUCAGAAUAAAGGUAAAAACACAGAAGAGCCAUGGGGCCACUGUCAAAGAAGCCAAGUCAUAUGGGGGAAGAGAAAGAUGCUCGAUAAAGCUGACAUUUUAAUAUCCAUGGAUGGAAAUCUCUUUUAGGAUAAGAUUUGACAACUGACUGUCACAGAAAGGGCAUUUCAAACAAGUUUCCAGAGUCCUUUGGAAGUAGCCAGCUAUAUAAGGUUGUUUGUUUUGGUAACUACCUGAAUUUUUUUUCACUAUGAAAUAUAGAUGGAGAUACCUCAGGGUCCUUGCUUGUGGAGAGCUGGCAUAGUUCUGCUUAAGGAACCACCUCUGCUUAAGUGCAGAGUUCACUUGGGGACCAGCACACCCACUUGUGAUGUCACACUCAGCCUGAAUCUUAAGCUCACAGCCUUUCUCUUCUCCUCAAUGACAAGAGAGGCUAUUUCAUGGCUGAUGACUCGCCUUUUGAGGGAGACUUCUAUAGAGGACAGAAAGAGGGGAAAGGAGAGAACAGUGAGACAAGGAGAAAAAAAUAGAACAUGCUUAUCAGAAAGUCUUGAAGAGAACUACAUGGAAGAAGUAUAUGGAUACUAUACAUUUAGGUAAAUUUAUUUACGGGGGAAUAAUAUUUGAUCAAGCAGCCUCAAGGUGACCAGCAUAGUUUGGCCUUUAUAAUUGAUACAUAAUCUCUGAAAAGAUGUUUAGGAGAAGAAGUCUUGGUGUCAGAGGACAUCAUAAAAGAGACCCAGAGCAUCAGCCCUCAUAAACAUGUCCCCUGUACCAGGGAAGCUGGUUGAGUAUUAGUAACAUGAUGCUAACUGACAGUGAGCUGCAUUGAGAUAAAGCUCAGAGCAUUUGGGAUCACUCAAGGUAGCAUGAAACCCAGAGAUGCUUGGCUUCUACUGAGGCUUGGGUUUCCCGAUGGCAGAAAUGCCAUCAUCUUGAAAUGUCACAAGUCUUUUCAAAGCAACGAUGUCUAGAGUUCUUUCAAGAAUGGUGUAAGGAUUUCCCAUAUAAAGAGAAGAAAAAAAGAAAAUGGAGACCUUCCCACAGCGGCUGCUCUGCAGAAGGAGGAAGAUGAAACCUAAAGGUUUGGAUACUAGAUUUUAUGCUCCCUAACCCUCUCUUUUUUAUGUUAUACAUGUCAUAUAUGUUAUAUGUGUAUGAUAUUGAUAUUCCUGCAUUAUGUUUAUACAUAUAUAUAAAUAUCAAAUAUAAAGUUCUAUUAAGACUUUUUAAACCCUAUCUAAAAUCUUCAUGGAAUCUCAGGUAUACAAUUAAGUAUCGCAAGGUCCUGUGAACAGGGUAAGUAAAGUUCCUUGGAUAAAAGCUAGAGGCCAGUGAUGCAGACCCUGAGUCUCCCUGCCAGAGCUACUUAAAGCCCAAGCAAGCACAAGUGAUGAUACAUUUUUUUCUGGACUAUCUACAAAUGUUAUUAUUAUUUCUUUAGUUUCUCUUGGUUUGUCCUGUUUGUGUGAGUCAUGGUCUUACAUGCGGUCUCACAUCGUCAUUACGUGCUACAAACUGGCCUCAAGCUCAAGACAAUCUGUAAAAAGAACUGAACAUUCUGGUUAGUCCAUAUAAAAGACACACAAUCCAGUUAUUCCAUUUACGAGCUGUAAGCCUAGACUGGGCAGAUUCUAACUUGGGGAUGAUUGGACAGAUGCUAGAGUAAUCUGGGAAGAGAAAUUCAGAAAAUGUCUCCAUCAGAUUGCCUGUAGUCAACUCUAUAGGAUAAUUUCUUAGUUAAUUAUUAUUGAGGCCACUCUGGGUGAUGUCACCCCUGGGCAGUAGCCCUGGGUUGUGUAUACAGGCUUAGAAAGCCAUACAGAGAAAGCCAGUAAGCAGCACUCUUCCAUGACCUCAGCUUUUUUUUUUCCUGCCUCCAGGUUCCUGCCAUGACUUCCUUUGAUGAUGGACUGUGAUGUGGAACUGUAAACCAAAACCCUUUCUUCACCAAGCUACUUCUGGAAUGCUUCAAGGGUCUUGACCUGACCCGAACCAUGAACCCAAACUCAACUGAACCACAUUGAUUUGCAAAAACUGCCUGCUGAAAUUGAACCCACGUAGUAAUUGGAGCUGAAAUGAACACUGAGAUGUCUUCUGAAAACUGGACUUGGCCUGAUGUUAUUUCGAAAGGAUCUCAUGGGGAAGAAACUGAGCCUUGGUGGAGACUCUAGACUUCUGAACAAUAUUAGAAUUAUAAAGACUUGGGCACUUUCAGAGACUGAGCAUUUCCAUGUUAUAUAACACAAGAUAAAGCUGAUUUAAAACGACAUAUCCUAAGUUAACAAAAGAUGGACUAUACUUCAUUAUUAACUUGACUGGAUUCAGAAUCAUCUAGAAGACAUACCUUAGGCAUGUCUAUUAGGAUUUUCCAAGGAGGUUUAGUUGAGAAGGAAAUAUUCAACUGAACGUGAGUGCCACCAUUCUAGGGGAUGGAGUCCUAGCCUAAAUUUUAAAAAAGGGGGAAGGAUAGUCUGAGGACCAGCAUUCACUUGCUCUCUGCUUCUUCUUCUUCUUUUUUGUUUUUGUUUGUUUGUUUUGUUUUUUUGAGACAGGGUUUCU